UACGGGGGGGGCAAGCGUUGUUCGGAAUUACUGGGCGUAAAGGGCUCGUAGGCGGCCAACUAAGUCAGACGUGAAAUCCCUCGGCUUAACCGGGGAACUGCGUCUGAUACUGGUUGGCUUGAAUCCGGGAGAGGGAUGUGGAAUUCCAGGUGUAGCGGUGAAAUGCGUAGAUAUCAGGUGGAACACCAGUGGCGAAGGCGGCUUUCUGGACGGUAACUGACGCUGAGACGCGAAAGCGUGGGGAGCAAACAGG
rnacentral:rRNA from 1 species